rnacentral:rRNA from 1 species
AACGAACGCUGGCGGCAUGCCUAACACAUGCAAGUCGAACGAGACCUUCGGGUCUAGUGGCGCACGGGUGCGUAACGCGUGGGAAUCUGCCCUUGGGUUCGGAAUAACAGUUAGAAAUGACUGCUAAUACCGGAUAAUGUCUUCGGACCAAAGAUUUAUCGCCCAGGGAUGAGCCCGCGUAGGAUUAGCUAGUUGGUGAGGUAAAGGCUCACCAAGGCGACGAUCCUUAGCUGGUCUGAGAGGAUGAUCAGCCACACUGGGACUGAGACACGGCCCAGACUCCUACGGGAGGCAGCAGUGGGGAAUAUUGGACAAUGGGCGAAAGCCUGAUCCAGCAAUGCCGCGUGAGUGAUGAAGGCCUUAGGGUUGUAAAGCUCUUUUACCCGGGUAUGAUAAUGACAGUACCGGGAGAAUAAGCCCCGGCUAACUCCGUCGCCAGCAGCCG